rnacentral:tmRNA from 1 species
GGGGACGUUUAUGGAUUCGACAGGGGUCCCCCGAGCUCAUGAAGCGUGUCGGAGGGUUGUCUUCGUUACCAACACAUCAGUUUAUAAUAACUGGCAAAACUAACAAUAAUUUCGCAGUAGCUGCCUAAUUGCACUCUGCAUCACCUAACAGCAUCGCCUAUGUGCUGUUAACGUGAUUCAACUUUAGUAGGAUACACUCGUCACUGCCGUUUGAAGUCUGGCGAGAAGAGAUGAAUCAAACUAGCAUCAUGUUGGCUGUCUAUCGCCUUGCAUGAUGUGAAAUUGAACGAUAGACUACACACGUAGAAACAUUUGUAUCAGGACCUUUGGACGCGGGUUCAAAUCCCGCCGUCUCCACUA